GGUGUACAAUUACAGCAGAGCGUCUCUGGUUUCUGCCAUCCAGGUUCGGUGCAGCGCGACUUCUGGUCACCUGAUCCGUCGCUCGUGUCGGGGGUGAGCGCGGCGGCUGCUGCAGGAGGUAGGGGUGCGAGGAGCCUCCCCCCGGCCGGAGGAGGUGGGGCGGCGUGGGCCAGCGACCGGGCGGCCCUGAGGAAGACGGUUUCGGCUGACGGAGAGCAGCCACACCUGAGACUGCUGAGUCGGCUGGAGAGAGGCAGGAGGAAGCUCCGCAACAUCCACGGACGACACAAAAAGUAAACAGCAACCAGCACAGGUUUCCUCCACCUCGUCCACUCUGCCUCUCACUUCCUGCCUCGUUCUGAAUGUCAAGCGGCAACGGAGUCACGUGAAAACAGAAGAAGACAGAAGCAGCUCAUGCUGUCCACCUGUCCCUGUCAGCAGACAUAUUACUCCUUCAUUGAUUGAUAGAUGAAUGUACUGGGAGAGCUCUUGUCAUUACUGGUUUUUAUCUGCCUUAAUUAGAGACUUGUUUUUUUGUUUUUUGCGCUUGACAGAAUCAACAGUAUAUUUGAACACCUGGGUUCAGGAUUAAUAAUGUGCUGUUUGUCCUUUAAUAAAUGUUGUUAUUCAGUU